CAGUCGCCGCGGUAAUGCGUAGGGUGCAAGCGUUAAUCGGAAUUACUGGGCGUAAAGCGUGCGCAGGCGGUUAUAUAAGUCAGAUGUGAAAUCCCCGGGCUCAACCUGGGAACUGCAUUUGAGACUGUAUGGCUAGAGUGUGUCAGAGGGGGGUAGAAUUCCACGUGUAGCAGUGAAAUGCGUGGAUAUGUGGAGGAAUACCGAUGGCGAAGGCAGCCCCCUGGGAUGACACUGACGCUCAUGCACGAAAGCGUGGGGAGCAAACAGGAUUAGAUACCCCAGUAGUCCCUGUCUCUUAUAC
rnacentral:rRNA from 1 species